AUGGCGAUCUCACUCCUCCUCACCCAGCUGCCCCAGCAGUGGCACCUCUUCCUCCUAGCCGGCCUCCUCCUCCCAGUCUUCUCCUACCUGCUGCUGAUGACGAGGCGCGGCCCUGAGGAAAGAGGGUUGAGGCUGCCGCCGCGUCCGGCGGGGGUGCCGGUGCUCGGCAACCUGCACCAGCUAGGCCCGCUGCCACACUGCAGCUUGCGCGACCUGGCCGGGCGGCACGGUCCCGUCAUGCUCGUCCGCCUCGGCGCGGCGCGAGCGGUGGUGGUUUCCUCCGCGUCGGCGGCGCGCGACGUGAUGAGGGCCCACGACGCCGACUGCUGCAGCCGACCCGCGUCGCCAGGCCCCGCGCACCUCUCCUACGGCCGGAAGAGCGUCGCCUUCUCGCCCUACGGCGCCUACUGGCGCGGCAUGCGCAGGCUCCUCGCCGCCGAGCUCGUUGGGGCGCGUGGCGUCGGCGCCGCCUGGGCCGCGCGGCGGGAGCAGGUGGACAGGCUCAUGUCUGCCCUGGGCAACGCGGCGGAACCGGUGGCGUUGGACGAGCACGUAAUCCGCGUCGCCGACGGCAUCAUCGGCACGGUGGCGUACGGGAGCGUGUACGGCGCGGAGGCGUUCGCGAGCAAGUACGAGCGGUUCCAGCACGUGCUGUUCGAGGGCAUGGCCAUGUCGGCAAGCUUCUCGGCCGAGGACUUCUUCCCCAACGCCGCCGGCCGCCUCGUCGACCGGCUCGUCGGCGUGGUCGCGCGGCGGGAGAGGAUCUUCAGAGACCUGGACGGCUUCUUCGAGGAGGUGCUGGAUCAUCACCUGGACCCCGCGCGCCGCAGGUCGGAGAGCGGCGGCGGCGGCGACCUCGUGGACGCCCUCGUCGGCCUCUGCGAGGAGCAUGGGUUCACGACGGACCACGUCAAGGCCGUGCUCGUGGACGCGUUCCUCGGCGGCAUCGACACGAGCUCCGUGACGAUCCUGUGGGCGAUGUCGGAGCUCAUGAGGAAGCCGCGCGCGCUGAAGACGGCGCAGGAGGAGAUCCGGGCCGCGGUCGCCGGCAACGGCAGCAAGGAGCUGCCGCGCGUGCAGCCGGACGACCUGCCCAAGCUGACGUACCUGAGGAUGGUCGUCAAGGAGACGCUGCGGCUGCACCCGCCGGCGACGCUGCUGCUGCCGCGGGAGACGCUGCGGCGGGUGGAGAUCGGCGGGUACGAGGUGCCGGCGGGGACGCGGGUGCUGGUGAACGCGUGGGCGAUCGGGAGGGAGGCGGCGAGCUGGGGGCCGGACGCGGAGGAGUUCGAGCCGGAGAGGUUCGAGGCGGGCGGGAGGCACGGCAAGGUGGACUUCCGCGGGGCGCACAUGGAGCUGGUGCCGUUCGGCGCCGGGCGGCGGAUCUGCCCGGGGCUGGCCAUGGGCGUGGCGAACGUGGAGUACACUCUGGCCAACAUGCUGUGCGGCUUCGAGUGGGCGGUGCCGGAGGGGGAGGAGGUGAGCAUGGAGGAGGCCGGCGCGCUGAACUUCCACCGCAAGACGCCGCUGGUGCUCCUGCCCACCCCAUACGCACCGCCGGCGUGUGAGUAA
rnacentral:rRNA from 1 species